GUAUCUAAAUAAUCAUAAUUUCUUAUCAAUAAUUUAAUAAUAAUGGGCUUUUAAUAGAUAUAAGUAUUAUUAUCAAAAUAUAUAAACUCUGUUGCACAGUCAGUGCUCAUGCAUUUGGAGAACCCACAAUGAAAACCUUGCUCUUCAUUGUGGCAGUCGCUUGCGUGUGCGCGGCGUACGUCUCGGCUGAGCCUCAGCUGGCGGGUGGCGUAGGCGCAGGCGCCGGUGGUGUCGAAUUCGGACGUUCAGCGCAACCGUGGCGCUACAGGGGAGUUGGAGAAAGCGAAGCUAUCGAGCGUGCAGCGGCUGAUCAUAGCCGUUGGGUUAGAGAUGUACAGUACGCCGAGAGAGCGGUUCGUGGGUAGUCGGGCUAGUCCCGUUGCCGUGCGAGCUGCGGACUACAGUUACUGAUCUGGAUAACAUGACCGUUAUUAAUUAAUUGAUUAAUGUUGCACUGUUCAUAAAUCUUGUUGGAAGAGGCUAAAAUUUGUGAUGGAUUAAAAACAAAAAAUAAUAUGAUGCGCACCACGAUAUAUAGACGAGAUAAAAACAAAUGUCAAAGUAGCGGCGCAAUCGUAAAUAUAGCUCUCUCUUUUGUCUCGUCGCAAUUAAAGAGAUAGCGAUAUUUUCGAUUAUGCCGCCUCCGGGCCACGAAAGAAGUCCCGUGACCAAAACCUGAAGUAAAAUUGACAGCGCCUUACACAAAUGACAAUGAGCGCCAUUAAAACAUUAGCGCCGCGUAUACGGGACUUGUUUCGUGGCGCGGAGUAUACAUCGUGGCACGCGCGGAUACAAAAGAUACAAAAAAACUGAAAUCCUAAUUUUACAAAUUAACACAGCCCAGAGGGCUGUCAGCCUCUCUUUUUUUAAUUUCAAUGUAAAAUCAGUAAAUUAAUAAAUUAAAUUCAAACAUAUUGAAAAUUCUGAAAUUAAAAGUUUUGUAAAAAAUAAUAAUUGUUGUCUCAAGAAA